ACAUCCAGAGAAUUUAGCAGAGAUGCUUUAGUGCCUUCGGGAACUCUGAGACAGGUGCUGCAUGGCUGUCGUCAGCUCGUGUUGUGAAAUGUUGGGUUAAGUCCCGCAACGAGCGCAACCCUUAUCCUUUGUUGCCAGCACGUAAUGGUGGGAACUCAAAGGAGACUGCCGGUGAUAAACCGGAGGAAGGUGGGGAUGACGUCAAGUCAUCAUGGCCCUUACGAGUAGGGCUACACACGUGCUACAAUGGCGCAUACAAAGAGAAGCGACCUCGCGAGAGCAAGCGGACCUCAUAAAGUGCGUCGUAGUCCGGAUUGGAGUCUGCAACUCGACUCCAUGAAGUCGGAAUCGCUAGUAAUCGUAAAUCAGAAUGUUACGGUGAAUACGUUCCCGGGCCUUGUACACACCGCCCGUCACACCAUGGGAGUGGGUUGCAAAAGAAGUAGAUAGCUUAACCUUCGGGAGGGCGUUUACCACUUUGUGAUUCAUGACUGGGGCGAAGUCGUAACAAGGUAGGCGUAGUGCU
rnacentral:rRNA from 1 species